AGAGAGAGAGAGAGAUACAUUAGCAGUUGCGCCCUGUCUGCGCACCCAGCAUCCAUUGCGAUUGUGUUACAUUUUGAAAUAGAAGCGCGAUGUCCGGACUCUGGAUCCUGGAGAGGAAACAUUCCUUCUUGAGAGAGGAUGACGCCAGUCGACAGUGAACACCUGGUUGACAACUUGGAGGAUCAUGCCAGUUCACCAUCAACAUAUGAUGGACAACAUGUGAGUGGUGACAGUACACUUUGAAGUUCAAGUUUCCUGAACAUCAAUUCUUUGUGAGACUCAGUCCCAUGUUGAGCGCCCUGUUCAUUCAUCUCUGGACGCAGUGACUUAUUACUCUUGAUCAACCUGGGUCAAGUGGCUAAUUUCAAAUAUACUGUGUAUGGACACGUUUUUUCAAGAUCUCAUCACUGCUUUGUGAGUAUACUGGAGUUAUUGAAUCUGUUCAAUCUGUUUUUCAGAGGAUGUGUACAUGCAAAAACUGUUUCUUAAAGGUUAUUAAUGAUAGUCUGUACAUUGGUUUGCAGUGGGCUUUGUUAAUUAUGUCCUUUUUGCAAUUUACGUUAAUUUAAGUGGUUGACUGUAAAAUUUGUAGCCACCAACUUUAUGGCCUGAUAUAUUGUAUGCAGCUCAUUUUUUGAAAUUCUGGCAACCACUCCUGCCAUUAAUAUUCCGGUAAGUUGAACUUAAUAAAUGCCGUAAUAUAUCAUACAGAUUUGUUCUUUGUUUAUAACUGAGGUAGACUGUAAACAGGUUUAUAUUGUAGCUAAGAUGUUUAGCCCCCCCCCCGAAAGAGACCGAGGUACCCAUCCCUCGUGGCGGCUCAGGCAACAGGCUCUGUUUUCCCGCCGUCUCGGCACUCGGGACACGCUAGCCGUCUCUCCAUUCAUUUGAUUGGACAAUGGAAAAAACGCGAAUGAGGUUCCUCCUCUGGAUAAAUAUUGACUCCAGCAAAUGCAGUGCCAAGGUACACAGAAGCUGGAAAGCUGGAGGAACUAUGAGGCAGAAGAUGACACAUGAACCUAUGCAUCAUCAGGGACUUCACAGAGUUUGAUUGGCAAAUAACUAGAUGGAGGCAUCUGCUCUUCAUUUUGCUGUGGAACAGUACUGUGAAAAUGACAGACUGAACAGUGAUGUAAUCGCUAAAAUCCCGAGAAGCAAGGAACCACAGACUUUUUUUUUCCUAUCAGCAAGUCACCUUUGUUCAAACAUGGAAAAGGGUGUGUUCUGUGUGCAUGUUGAUUUGUCUUUGGAGAUGUUGAUGUUAAGUUUUAAAGUUACAUAGGUGAAAAAGUAAAAAAAAAAAACUGAUGCAGAUGUUUGGUCCAAAUUUUAUAAGGUAUACGAAUUGUUAACUAUGCACUGUAUAUUAAUCUUUAUUGUAUACAAUUUUUGCAGUUAGCAUUAAGGUUUUUGUAAGA